rnacentral:rRNA from 1 species
AUUGAACGCUGGCGGCAGGCCUAACACAUGCAAGUCGAGCGAGCGGCGGACGGGUGCGUAAUGUCUGGGAAACUGCCCGAUGGAGGGGGAUAACUACUGGAAACGGUAGCUAAUACCGCAUACUAUCAGAUGUGCCCAGAUGGGAUUAGCUAGUAGGUGGGGUAACGGCUCACCUAGGCGACGAUCCCUAGCUGGUCUGAGAGGAUGAUCAGCCACACUGGAACUGAGACACGGCCCAGACUCCUACGGUAGGCAGCAGUGGGGAAGAUUGCACAAUGGGCGCAAGCCUGAUGCAGCCAUGCCGCGUGUAUGAUGAAGGCCUUCGGGUUGUAAAGUACUUUCGGCAGAGAAGCGUUAUCUGCAGAAUAAGCACCGGCUAACUCCGUGCCAGCAGCCGCGGUAAUAC